UUGUGGGAAUGGGCUGAUUGGGAAGCAAUGAAAACUCAAGCAAUUGUGUCUACAUUUUCUUCCCAAUUCCGCCCAUUCCUAUGA
rnacentral:pre_miRNA from 1 species